UACGUAGGGGGCUAGCGUUGUCCGGAUUCAUUGGGCGUAAAGCGCGUGUAGGCGGCCAGGUAGGUCCGUUGUGAAAACCCGAGGCUUAACCUCGGGACGCCGACGGAAACCAUCUGGCUAGGGUCCGGAAGAGGAGAGUGGAAUUCCCGGUGUAGCGGUGAAAUGCGCAGAUAUCAGGAAGAACACCAAUGGCGAAAGCAGCUCUCUGGGACGGUACUGACGCUGAGACGCGAAAGCGUGGGGAGCGAACAGG
rnacentral:rRNA from 1 species